rnacentral:rRNA from 1 species
ACGGCUCAGUAACACGUAGUCAACAUGCCCAAAGGACGUGGAUAACCUCGGGAAACUGAGGAUAAACCGCGAUAGGUCAUAAGUACUGGAAUGUUUUAUGGCUCAAAUCUACAUGGCCUCUGGAUUGGACUGCGGCCGAUCAGGCUGUUGGUGAGGUAAUGGCCCACCAAACCUUUUACCGGUACGGGCUCUGAGAGGAGGAGCCCGGAGAUGGGCACUGAGACAAGGGCCCAGGCCCUAUGGGGCGCAGCAGGCGCGAAACCUCUGCAAUAGGCGAAAGCUUGACAGGGUUACUCUGAGUGAUUCCCGCUAAGGGAAUCUUUUGGCAUCUCUAAAAACGAUGCAGAAUAAGGGGUGGGCAAGUCUGGUGUCAGCCGCCGCGGUAAUACCAGCACCCCGAGUGGUCGGGACGAUUAUUGGGCCUAAAGCAUCCGUAGCCGGUCUUGCAAGUCUUCCGUUAAAUCCACCUGCUUAACAGAUGGGCUGCGGGAGAUACUACAAGACUAGGAGGCGGGAGAGGCAAGCGGUACUCAGUGGGUAGGGGUAAAAUCCUCUGAUCCAUUGAAGACCACCAGUGGCGAAGGCGGCUUGCCAGAACGCGCUCGACGGUGAGGGAUGAAAGCUGGGGGAGCAAACCGGAUUAGAUACCCGGGUAGUCCCAGCUGUAAACGAUGCAGACUCGGUGAUGGGCCGGCUUCAUGCCGGCUCAGUGCCGCAGGGAAGCCGUUAAGUCUGCCGCCUGGGGAGUACGGUCGCAAGACUGAAACUUAAAGGAAUUGGCGGGGGAGCAC